GCUUUUCUUAGUUGAACAAAAUCUUUGAAAGGUAUUUUGGAAUUUUAAAAACCAUUUUACCACUAGUAUAUUAAAAGUAAUAAUUUGUAUUGUGUUGUAGCUCUGCUGCACAGUAUAUGCUUAGCAUUUGAGAGGCCUUGGAGAGACCUAGCAUUAUGUACCUCCAAAUCAUAGCAGUAACUAUAAAUCAGCUCUUUAUAACUUAAAGGAUUAAUGUAGUGAGAUAAUCCUAGUAAGAAUUUUCUGGUUAUGUAUGUUUUGUUUUUUGCUUUUUUUUAAUUUGUAAUGGUCAGAUGCAAAUGGUUUUAUUUAUGCUGUAGAUGUUCAUUGCAGAUUUUUUUUAAAUGAAAAUUUUAAAUUUUCAAUCAUUUUCUCACUAGAGUCUGUUUGAGCUUUCUUUCUAAAUCAUAAGAGCAGCCAUUUUUCAGAACCCCCAAAUCCCACCAUUUUUUCCCCCUCUUUAAAAAGAAUAUCUGAGUCUUAAAAAGACUAUGACAUUUUUAUUAUUAACAUUUUUCUCUAUAUCCUCUGGUUCUUGAUGUGUAAUGUUUAAAAAUCACAUAGACCUAACUACAUAAAUACAUGAUUUUUAAAAAUAAUAUUUUUGUUUACUCUUCUAACAGUUUAAACAUACAUUGUAUUUUUAUACAGUAUCUUGAUCAAACCCUAUUUAACUUUUAAAAAUAUGUGCUCAUAUAAUUCUAAUCUUCUUGAGCAUGCUGAGUCCAGUUCCUUCUUUUUCUAAAUAAUUGAUGGGAUUUAAUAAUUAUUAAGUGGUUGAGUUACGUUCAGAAAAGCCUAUUCAGUAAAGUUUAAGUUCGGAAAACAAAAAUCAAAGUGAACAAAGUGAGUUGCAGGACAGCCAGGGCUAUACAGAGAGACCCUGUCUGCAGAGUUAUCAGCUGGUAGAUUGUACUUUAUUUUAUAUAUUCAAUUACUUUCCUCUAUAAAAAAAGGUUUAGGACCAAAUCAUAAAGGGCUCUAUAUCAUAGUAAGGAGUCUCCAGACUAAAGGCCAUUGGCAUCUUAGGAACGACAUUAGUUUGAAAAGGAAUGCAAAGGGGUGUGAAUGGGAUGUGUCCUCUCUCCUCAGUGCUGGGAACUGAAGCCAAGGGUUCAUUAUCUAUGCUGGUCUCUCUGUCUCUGAGUUCCAUAUCCCUAACCUUGGCAUAUGCUACUUCUAGUAGUUGUGCUAUUGGGGGGUGCUUAGGGUCCGUGAUUGGAAGGUAGCGGGUUAGUAUCGUGGACACGGGGAGAAAAUGGGAGUGUUCAGUAAGGAUCGGAGCAAAAGAAGCUUGUAAGACAAAGGAAAGGUUUUCAAACGUGAGUGCUUAAAAACAUUUUUCGCUGGUGACCCUGGGGCAUGCUCCAGUGGGAGGGACAGUGAGGAGAAGGAUGGAAAGGAAUGUGACUGCAGGCAAGGUAGACAGGAACCGGUAGACGACAAAGUCAGUGGGGUGCUCCCUGCCUCCUAAAGGCACUGCAGUCCUUGCAGGAUGCUGUGGGGCAGCAGCGUUUCUAGUCAUCUCUCUCCUGUGUGCACCCCUUAGCUUAGCUGAUAGUAAAUUUCAGGUACUAAUAAGAGGUUUUUUGUUUUUUUUAAAUAGAGAAAAGUAAUUGGAUACAAAAUAAAGUAAAAUCUACCGGCUGAUGACUCUUAUUUUCAAAAAUAUAAUGGAUUUGCCCAAAAUAUCGAGUUCCUUACUGUGUAAGCUUAUAAAAACAUAAAAAUGGAUAAAAUUGAACCUUGUAAAAGCAAUUAUGAUUUUAUUAAACAAGGCUAUGUAAGUUUUAUUUGUGAUGAUUGUGUUAAAUGUUUCUUCUUCAGAAGCCUAAGGAAACAGUUCCAACUCUUGCUCCAAAAACUCUGUCGGUAGCAGCAGCUUUCAAUGAAGAUGAAGAUGUAAGCGAAUACCUACUUUAUUUUACUUUAUUUGUAAAGCGCGAGCAUGCGUGUGUGCGUGAGAGAGAGAGAGAGAGGGAGAGAGAGAGAGAGAGAGAGAGAGAGAGAGAGAGAGAGAGAGAGAGAGAGAGAGAGAGAGAGGCAUGUGUGCAAUGGUAUGCAGGUGGAAGUCGGGACAACUUUUGGGAGUCAAUUCUUUUCUUUCUAUCUGGGUCCAGGAAAUGUCUCAGUUGUCAGACAGGUUUGCUUGGCAGCUGUUUUACAUCUGAAGCCAUCCAGCUGGCCCUGAGUUUUAAGUUAACUAGUCCUUUUAAGACGAUACUAGCAGAUGGAGACGGCUCAGUGGUUAAGAACAUGCACUGUUCCAGAAGACCAGAGUUUGGUUCCUGAUACCCUCAUCAGGUGGCUCACAAAUACCUCUAACUCCAACUGCAAGGGAGCCAAGUCCUUUGGCUUGCAUAGGCUACACACGCAUGCAAAUACCCAUAUAAUACUCAUUGUACCCACAUACAUUAAUUAAAAGUAAUAAAUUUUUUUAAAAGAGAAGAUAUUAAAAAAAUUAGAGUUUGUACUAAUGGUAGUUAAAUUGAUAAUAGUAAAAUAGUAUUGGUGAAAUUUCUUUGUAAUGCCUAAGAAAAUGGGAUUUCUAAUGUGUCUAUUGAUACAAAUAUAUUUCUUUUUUUUUUAAUUAUGUAAGUAUUUUAUUUAUCACCAAAGGAAAAAACAGCAGCAAAUUCUGUGUUGGCUUCAAUAAGACCAAAUGGCUAUUACUCUUUUUUUUUUUUUUUUUUAAACAUAGCUACUACACUCCAAAGCUGGUCAACACAGUCAUCACUACAAAUUACUUGUUGAAAUAACCUAUCCUGAAGAAAGAAAAUUAGGAAAAAGAAUUUAAACAAUUCCUCCAAACCACACAUUUAUAAAUAUUGUCAUAUUUAAAAUGCUUGAAAGGCAUGAAUUAGUGGAAAAGCAGUUUUGGCAACAGAAGAAAGAAACCCACAACAGUUACAAAUAUAUUUCUAUAAAAAUUGCUAAUAUUAUAGAAAAUUGCAAGAAAAUUAAGAGUCGCCAGGCGUAGUGGCGCACACCUUUAAUCCCAGCACUUGGGAGGCAGAGGUAGGCGUAAUUCUGAGUUCGAGGCCAGCCUGGUCUACAAAGUGAGUUCCGGGACAGCCAGGGCUAUACAGAGGAACCCUAUCUCGAAAAACC
rnacentral:lncRNA from 1 species